AGAGUUUGAUCAUGGCUCAGAUUGAACGCUGGCGGCAUGCCUUACACAUGCAAGUCGAACGGUAACAGGUCUUCGGACGCUGACGAGUGGCGAACGGGUGAGUAAUACAUCGGAACGUGCCCAGUCGUGGGGGAUAACUACUCGAAAGAGUAGCUAAUACCGCAUACGAUCUGAGGAUGAAAGCGGGGGACCUUCGGGCCUCGCGCGAUUGGAGCGGCCGAUGGCAGAUUAGGUAGUUGGUGGGAUAAAAGCUUACCAAGCCGACGAUCUGUAGCUGGUCUGAGAGGACGACCAGCCACACUGGGACUGAGACACGGCCCAGACUCCUACGGGAGGCAGCAGUGGGGAAUUUUGGACAAUGGGCGAAAGCCUGAUCCAGCAAUGCCGCGUGCAGGAUGAAGGCCUUCGGGUUGUAAACUGCUUUUGUACGGAACGAAAAAGCUCCUUCUAAUACAGGGGGCCCAUGACGGUACCGUAAGAAUAAGCACCGGCUAACUACGUGCCAGCAGCCGCGGUAAUACGUAGGGUGCGAGCGUUAAUCGGAAUUACUGGGCGUAAAGCGUGCGCAGGCGGUUAUGUAAGACAGAUGUGAAAUCCCCGGGCUCAACCUGGGAACUGCAUUUGUGACUGCAUGGCUAGAGUACGGUAGAGGGGGAUGGAAUUCCGCGUGUAGCAGUGAAAUGCGUAGAUAUGCGGAGGAACACCGAUGGCGAAGGCAAUCCCCUGGACCUGUACUGACGCUCAUGCACGAAAGCGUGGGGAGCAAACAGGA
rnacentral:rRNA from 1 species